GCAAACUUGGUCAUUUAGAGGAAGUAAAAGUCGUAACAAGGUUUCCGUAGGUGAACCUGCGGAAGGAUCAUUACCGAGCGCACGCCCCGGGGGCCACCCCCGGGGCGCACCUCCCACCCCUUGCCGAUGAAACCCGUUGCCUCGGUGGGCCCCCGCCCACCGGAGUCGCACACACGACCAACGCGCGAGCCGUCCGAGUAGUGAUACCAAUCGCACAAAACUUUCAACAAUGGAUCUCUUGGCUCUGGCAUCGAUGAAGAACGCAGC
rnacentral:misc_RNA from 1 species